rnacentral:rRNA from 1 species
GACGAACCGUGCGAACGUUGUUCGGAAUCACUGGGCUUAAAGGGCGCGUAGGCGGGCCAUCAAGUCCGGGGUGAAAUCUUUCGGCUCAACCGGAAAAGUGCCUUGGAUACUGAUGGUCUUGAGCGAGGUAGGGGCAUGUGGAACUUCCGGUGGAGCGGUGAAAUGCGUUGAUAUCGGAAGGAACUCCGGUGGCGAAAGCGACGUGCUGGACCUCUUCUGACGCUGAGGCGCGAAAGCUAGGGGAGCGAACGGG